UACGUAGGGUGCAAGCGUUGUCCGGAAUUAUUGGGCGUAAAGAGCUCGUAGGCGGUUUGUCGCGUCUGCUGUGAAAAUCCAGGGCUUAACCCUGGACCUGCAGUGGGUACGGGCAGACUGGAGUGCGGUAGGGGAGAUCGGAAUUCCUGGUGUAGCGGUGAAAUGCGCAGAUAUCAGGAGGAACACCGGUGGCGAAGGCGGGUCUCUGGGCAACAACUGACGCUGAGGAGCGAAAGCGUGGGGAGCGAACAGG
rnacentral:rRNA from 1 species